UCUACGGGAGGCAGCAGUGGGGAAUAUUGGGCAAUGGGCGCAAGCCUGAACCAGCAACGCCGCGUGAAGGAAGAAGGCUUUCGGGUUGUUAACUUCUUUUCUCAGGGACGAAGCAAGUGACGGUACCUGAGGAAUAAGACACGGCUAACUACGUGCCAGCAGCCGCGGUAAUACGGAGGUGGCAAGCGUUAUCCGGAUUUACUGGGUGUACAGGGCGUGUAGGUGGGAAUGCAAGUCAGAUGUGAAAACCACGGGAUUAACCUUGGACCUGCAUUUGAAACUGUAGUUCUUGAGUACUGGAGAGGCAGACGGAAUUCGUAGUGUAGCGGUGAAAUGCGUAGAUAUUAGGAAGAACUCCAGUGGCGAAGGCAGUCUGCUAGACAGCAACUGACGCUGAUGCGCGAAAGCGUGGGGAGCAAACAGGAUUAGAUACCCGAGUAGUC
rnacentral:rRNA from 1 species